GCCCCGGUAAACGGCGGCCGUAACUAUAACGGUCCUAAGGUAGCGAAAUUCCUUGUCGGGUAAGUUCCGACCUGCACGAAUGGCGUAAUGAUGGCCAGGCUGUCUCCACCCGAGACUCAGUGAAAUUGAACUCGCUGUGAAGAUGCAGUGUACCCGCGGCAAGACGGAAAGACCCCGUGAACCUUUACUAUAGCUUGACACUGAACAUUGAGCCUUGAUGUGUAGGAUAGGUGGGAGGCUUUGAAGUGUGGACGCCAGUCUGCAUGGAGCCGACCUUGAAAUACCACCCUUUAAUGUUUGAUGUUCUAACGUUGGCCCCUUAUCGGGGUUGCGGACAGUGUCUGGUGGGUAGUUUGACUGGGGCGGUCUCCUCCUAAAGAGUAACGGAGGAGCACGAAGGUUGGCUAAUCCUGGUCGGACAUCAGGAGGUUAGUGCAAUGGCAUAAGCCAGCUUGACUGCGAGCGUGACGGCGCGAGCAGGUGCGAAAGCAGGUCAUAGUGAUCCGGUGGUUCUGAAUGGAAGGGCCAUCGCUCAACGGAUAAAAGGUACUCCGGGGAUAACAGGCUGAUACCGCCCAAGAGUUCAUAUCGACGGCGGUGUUUGGCACCUCGAUGUCGGCUCAUCACAUCCUGGGGCUGAAGUAGGUCCCAAGGGUAUGGCUGUUCGCCAUUUAAAGUGGUACGCGAGCUGGGUUUAGAACGUCGUGAGACAGUUCGGUCCCUAUCUGCCGUGGGCGCUGGAGAACUGAGGGGGGCUGCUCCUAGUACGAGAGGACCGGAGUGGACGCAUCACUGGUGUUCGGGUUGUCAUGCCAAUGGCACUGCCCGGUAGCUAAAUGCGGAAGAGAUAAGUGCUGAAAGCAUCUAAGCACGAAACUUGCCCCGAGAUGAGUUCUCCCUGACCCUUUAAGGGUCCUGAAGGAACGUUGAAGACGACGACGUUGAUAGGCCGGGUGUGUAAGCGCAGCGAUGCGUUGAGCUAACCGGUACUAAUGAACCGUGAGG
rnacentral:rRNA from 1 species